CACAACUUCUCUGUGCUCUGUGGAAACUUAUGAAACCUGGUGGUGUACUCAGGAGCCAGGAUGAAAACCAGCAGCGUGGACCCAAGUGUGGCCAGAGGGGAGGAGAUGAUUACAGAAUUUCCGUUCUGCCAGGAUAUAAGGGAGAUCCAGUCUUUGAAGCCAGCAGAUAAUUUAAUUUCCAAUGGAGGAAAAAAAAAUUUAAAAGCAGCCACAAAACCACAACCCGAAGCCACAGAAUCAUCUCGAGUUCUGUGGAAGCAUAAUGCUUAGAGACUGCAUUGCACUGUGGGCUUGGGAUAACUGCAAGAUUUGAGGGACUUUGCACAGCUUUGGCAAUUAAGGAAAAUGGAGUAACUGCCAAGGUGGUGUGGGACCAGUAUAAGGGAAAUGGUAAGUCUCUCUCUUCUUACGAAUGAACAGCUCACACCUCUUACUGAGAUGUCACACACGAUGCUUCCAGGGAAGACAGGGCAGGUUGACAUGGUCAGAGUCUCCCCCAUCUCGUGCCACUGUGACAGCUCUUGCGGAAGAAACUUGAAGCCACAUGUCUACAGCAGUGUCCUGGCAGACAGGAAUAAAUGGACACACUUUCCAAGGUCACGAGAAAGAAUUAUCCUUGACCUUAUGAGGCAGAGAUAUAAAAGCAACAAUGAGAUGCCUUGAAUGUUAAAAAGACCAGAUCCAUGCUUCAAAGUGGAGAUCUAGAGUUCCAAGCAAGACAUCUUCCCAAGACUUUCUAAAAUGGUGGCCCAUUAAAGCAACGAUACUGUUGUAAGCAAGAGAGAUGGCUUCAGCGGUGAAGGUCACUGGCUGUUCUUGUAGAGGACUAGGGUUCUGUUCCCAGCAUGCGCAGGGUGACUCACGACUGUCUGUGGCUUCAGUUCUAAAAGAUCUGAUGACAUCUUGUGGCUUCUGAACACAUAAGGUGCACAUAACUUCAGUUGCUUUUGGUGAGAUGCCUUUUAUCACAGCAUCAGAAAGGAAAUUAGAAUACCAUCUUUACUGAAAGCCUUCCUUCAAAGUUCUGACAGAGGAUGCAAUCUGGAGGUCCAGUCGCGGGGAGGAAACAGCUGACACUAGAUCUGCCUGCUCCAUCUGUACCUGGGCCCCAGAAAUGCAAUUAGUAUGUAAAACAGCGGCUCUCCUGGAAAUGACUGCUCGGGGGCUGAGCUCAGAUGAGAAGAUUUACAACAGAGAAAAGCUGUGUGAAGCCAGUGGAUGUGGAUGUGCAAAAAAAAAAAAAAACGUGGCAAAAAUCACUAAGGGCCCUAGAGGGCGACUGAGAAUUAGAAACAGGAUUUGAGCUACAGGUGAUGUUCUGUCUUUGAAGGUGGAGUCUUUAAGCUUAGCGUCUCGUACACGCUUUCUGCUCUCCCAAAUGCUACCCAACAUGUGUUUUCAAUUGAACUUUGAAACUAACAUUCUAUGUUUUUGGAGAAAACGUAGAAGUCAUUAUGAAACUAAUAAUAGCAUCGAAGGUGCUGUUCAUUCAGACAGUGUCCCAGAGUUGGGGACAUAAAAAAAUGUCAUUCCUAAGGAGCCGAAAUCAGAAACAUACAGGACUAUGAAGAUUUUUUUUUCUCUCGAGUCUCAACUCUACGGAGAGGCAUACCAAACUUCACAGAAUGGAACUGGGACUGAUCCACCAACAUGUAAUAGCAGUUCCUAGGCAACUGUGUGGAGUCUCCUGUCAUUACUCCUUGCUUAGAAAGGCCUGUUAAAAUAUUCCCAUCUAAAGCCUGGGCUUUGUAAGAGAUGAGGAAUCUGCACUCAAAAUGAAAAACCUGAAGCUCUAUUAAGAAGUGAGAUAAAUUUGGGGUCUCCAUAUACCUUUGUUAUAAAAAUAUGUAUUGAUUUAAAACAUGAUUUAGAAGACCUCACUGCAAGGGAGCCUGGAAGAAGUCAUCUUGAUCAAGUAGCCAGAGAAACAACUCUUUAAGGGGAUUGCUUAUCUGUCGUUAAACUUUUUUCCAUUGUGUGACAAAAUACCUCACAAAAACUCCUCAAGUUUUUGCCUUUUCAACGGAAGAUGCUGUAACUGAAAACUGAAUAACUCCACACUUAUCCACAGGUCACCACCAUACAGGAGCAGGUAAGUGGCCUCACUGGCUAGACACAAAAU
rnacentral:lncRNA from 1 species